rnacentral:rRNA from 1 species
GACGAACGCUGGCGGCGUGCUUAACACAUGCAAGUCGAACGGAAAGGCCCUGCUUUUGUGGGGUGCUCGAGUGGCGAACGGGUGAGUAACACGUGAGUAACCUGCCCGUGACUUUGGGAUAACUUCAGGAAACUGGGGCUAAUACCGGAUAGGAGCUCCUGCUGCAUGGUGGGGGUUGGAAAGUUUCGGCGGUUGGGGAUGGACUCGCGGCUUAUCAGCUUGUUGGUGGGGUAGUGUCUUACCAAGGCUUUGACGGGUAGCCGGCCUGAGAGGGUGACCGGCCACAUUGGGACUGAGAUACGGCCCAGACUCCUACGGGAGGCAGCAGUGGAGAAUAUUGCACAAUGGGCGGAAGCCUGAUGCAGCAACGCCGCGUGCGGGAUGACGGCCUUCGGGUUGUAAACCGCUUUCGCCUGUGACGAAGCGUGAGUGACGGUAAUGGGUAAAGAAGCACCGGCUAACUACGUG